rnacentral:lncRNA from 1 species
AGCGGAGGCCUGGGUUAUGGCGGUAUUUUGCUUGGCGGAGGGCUACAGUUCGGCGGAUCACCGGUUCGGCGGGGAUGCAAGUUGGGCGGGGGAACUCCCAGCGGCGAAGCUAGGCGGAGCCCUGGAGCUGCAGGUUGGGCAGAGCCUCGGAGUUGCGGCUGGCAGAGCUGCGAGUUGGGCGGUGGUGUGCCGCCGGUGACUCCUAGCGGGGGAGUUCGGCGGAGCCUGGUGUGCACUUGGAGGUGCAACUUGCAGCAGGGAUUGCUCAACGGAGUCCGGCGGAGCGGAGGCGGUGUUGAGAAGAAGAGUCAGGCGGAGCUGGUUCGGCGGAACAGAGAGGACCAGAGCUGCAGAACUGGGGUCCGGCGGAACAUGGAGUUCGGCGGAAGCUGGAGCUUGGUGGCGAACAUUUCCGGCGGACUGGGUCAGCGGUUGCUGCCGUGAGCAGAGGAGUUGGGCGGUGGAAUUGCCGCUGAUGGAUCCUUGGCUGCUGGUGGUGCAACAUCAGCAGAGGUGCUGGCCUUGCUGCUGGUUGGAUCUGGCGGAGGAAGGUUAGGCCAGCGGUGAAGCUAUCCGGCAAACGUUGCUAACGCAGUGUACCGGCCUGCCGGCGGAGGUUUUGCCGCUAGCGUCUCCUGGCGGACCGGGUUGUCGCUGACGGAGCUGUGAUGGUGCCAGCGGAGUGCGCUGGGCUUUGCUCGCCGGCGGUUUGGCGGAGAUGCCGGUUGGCUGAUGAAGAUGGUAGUUCUUGGCGGAGCUUUUGCCGUUGAAGAAGUGUGGCGGAGCCUGUGUUGGCCGCUAAUGCUGGCGGC